GUGUCCAAAAUCGCUAUCCUAUCCGGCCAAUCCCCCGCUUCGCCGGAGCUCGGCCGAGAGGGAAGGGCUGGGCCAUGGCGGGAGCCUUCGCUCUCCGUCUCGUGCCGCGCCUCGCCGCGGCGCCGCCGGGGAGGAGGAAGGGCGGUGGAGGAGGAGCUGGCCGCGGUGCAGGCAGCAGAGCGUUGGUGACAAAGAAACCAAACAAGGAGCACCACUUGUGGAUCAGGAAGGAGACAGCUGGGUCCGGGAAAAAGGCUCUCCGUCUUAUUGAUACUUCUGUGGAAACAUUCUUUUAGGUUUCCAAGUUACCAAAUGAAAAGGAAGCUAUUUAUGGUGCAUUAGACAAAUGGAGUGCUUUUGAGCCUGAAUUCCCUAUUGUAGCAGCAGCAAAAGCUCUAGGGAUGUUGAAAAGGCGAAGAAAAUGGCUAAGAAUCAUACAGGUAAUGUUUUGUUAGUAGCUAUUAGCUACUACUCCAUCCGUUCCAAAUUAUAGGUCGUUUUGGCUUUUCUAAGUACAUAGUUUUUACUAUGUAUUUAGACAUACUGUAUAUCUAAGUGCAUAUCAAAAGCUAUGUGUGGUAUCACUGCUUUCGACGAAACGGCCUAUAAUUUGCGACCGAAGAAGUAUUGCGAAAAGAGUAACCAAGUGGUUGAUGAGCAAAGGCCAGGUGCUGACAUGGACAACAUAUGAUACACUUCUGCUAGCACUUUUUAUGGAUGGAAGGGUAGAUGAGGCUGAAUCUAUUUGGGAUACUAUUGUACAGACUCAUACACGCUCAGUGCCCAAGAGGUUGUUCUCUCGGAUGAUCUUGAUGUAUGACAUUCGCCAUCAUCCAGAUAAAGUUUUGGAGGUAUAUGCUGACAUGGAGGAAUUAGGGGUGCGUCCAGAUGAGGAUACAGCUAGGCGGAUUGGAAGAGCAUUUGUGGCUUUUGGCCAAGAGGAAAAAGAAAAGUAUGUCCUUGAUAAAUACUUGAAAAGGUGGAAGUACAUCCAUUUCAAUGGUGAGCGUGUUAGGGUGCGGAGGGAUGGUCCGCUGGCAUAGCAACCGUUAUCUGAAAUGCUUGAAGCCAUCUAUAUCACCUCCGUUGGGAAGAUGUCAUUAUUGUCGCUUUGACAGCCACACGGAGAUAAUGGGCAUUCCUCCUUUGUCAGAUGGAACAAAGUUUCUUUUCAAAAAAAAAAAAGAAAAGAAAAACAAUGCCGAGAGGUUGAUCUGUGUUUCUCUAGUCUGUGGGAAGAGAUGAAGACCUGCUGGGUGGAAACUACUAACAUGCUAGUAUGAAACCGGUUUCAUACCGGUCCGGUCCGGUUUGAAACUUA